rnacentral:rRNA from 1 species
GUAAGGAAUAUUGGUCAAUGGACGAAAGUCUGAACCAGCCAUGCCGCGUGAAGGAUGAAGGCCCUCUGGGUUGUAAACUUCUUUUAUCUGGGACGAAAAAAGGGUAUUCUUACUCACUUGACGGUACCAGAGGAAUAAGCACCGGCUAACUCCGUGCCAGCAGCCGCGGUAAUACGGAGGGUGCAAGCGUUAUCCGGAUUCACUGGGUUUAAAGGGUGCGUAGGUGGGUAUUUAAGUCAGUGGUGAAAUCUCCGAGCUUAACUCGGAAACUGCCAUUGAUACUAUUUACCUUGAAUGCCCUGGAGGUAAGCGGAAUAUGUCAUGUAGCGGUGAAAUGCUUAGAUAUGACAUAGAACACCAAUUGCGAAGGCAGCUUACUACGGGGUGAUUGACACUGAGGCACGAAAGCGUGGGGAGCAAACAGGAUUAGAAACCCUGGUAGUCC